UUUGCUUUUAUAAAAGCAAAAUAAUUUUCUUCCUGGGAUCUGUCUUGAAGCCGCCCCUUUUCCCCCUGAAGAAUUAGAACCAAGAAUGCAAACAUGGGCUUCUUCACAGAAAGGAAAGGGAAAAGUGAUAUGUAGACUCCUCAAUAACAUCAUACUUUAUGAAGAGACUGUAGCUUUCGUCCCCAAGAAGCCUUGUAUUGAGCAUAUUUAAUGGGUGAUGUGAAAUAUGGGGCAGAGUCUUUUUGUAAGAAGCAAGUUUCUGAUGAGACAAAACUGGAUUAGACCAAGGCUAAUGCUAGGUAUCAGACCACAAAGUCAUCCAAUUUAUCAUCCUUUCCCCAAGGCCAAGUCAUUUUUAAGUGGUUUGGAAAGACUUUGAAGGGGUAGAAAAGCUUGAGAACAAUUUAAAAACUUGUCCCCUGCAGGGCAGUGUGUUAAAAGCUAGUUUUGCCAAAAGGCUAAGGCUGUGAUUACUGCCCCCCCCAUAACCUUUGAAAAAAUAAUCUUAAAGUACCCCAUUAACAGAGAUUACAGGGUAAGGCUACUAAACACAGAAGUAUUUAAAAGAGAACAGGGAGACAAAAAUGAAUGCUUGUGGGAAGAUGCAGUUGCUUACCCCAGAAUCAUAGAAACUUUUGAAAUAGACAUGCGAAGUCUGUAGGGAAAAUUGAACUCUUUGUAGAGCUAUUGGAAUUGUUUAUUAUGAAGCUUCACUUGAAUAGUCCUUAAAAUGCUCCCUUUUCGGACUGACUUUUUGAAAGAAGCAUGUGAGUGUGAGUGUGAUCUGAAAGAUGAGCUCUUAAAAAGAUCUCUCUCUAGAAUGAUGUUUGUCUUAGACUGUGGAGGUGACAGGAUGGUGUCAACAGUGGAACAUGGGCAUCACUGUCAGUUCAUCUGUAUUUUGAGGUGGGGCUGACCAACCAUAUCUGAGUCCAAAAAUUCACAGACAGACAGCUCUGAACUGUGAGCUCAUCUGAUUAUGUUGAGAUGUGCAGACUAGGGCAAAUAGAAGAAUGAGUUGGAUGGAGCCCAGGGACUUUCAUUGAUGUCUGUGGAAUUAAUGUUAAGUAAUUUAGAAUCCCUACUGGUGGGAAGGAAUUCAUUAGGUUCCACUGUGAAUGUCAGUGUUAGAGCCAGCCUGACAUUGAACAUAGACUAGGAGUAGGAUGAUCUGGGUUUCAGAGUUUGCCUUUUAUGAACCUGAAAUGUCUAGUGUUGGUUGCUUAAUGUUUGUGCAAGGCUUGUUGAGAGCUGUCAAAUGUAUCAUAUAUUGGGAGAACUUUGGAAACAUAUAAUAUUGAUUGUAUUGUUAUUAGUAAGUCUUAAUAGUAAAAGUGAAGUUUAAAGGAUAACAGCCAUCCUCAACCCUCAACACCCAUCAACUCAUUUCCUCUUUAGCAUUACUUAGGUUUUCUUGUCAGUACAUGCAAAGCUCCUAUCCACGUCUCUGGCUUUGAGGAAGUCAGUUGAAUGAAAGACUUCAGAGUUUAAAAGAUAAAUUGUUGGUUUAUAAUGGACCUGACAGUCACUUGCCUUAUUCUAAGGGCAAUUAUGUGAAGUACUUAAACCAACCGCAAAUUAACUCACUGUAUUUGUGACUGUGUUAGGGAGGGGUGUAGGCACAGCAUAAGCACCCAUACAUUGUGAUUCUGUUUCUGGAUGAUUACCAGCGUAUAGCCACACUGGGACAUUAGAUCAGGGAUAGUGUGUCUGAGGAAGCUAACAUGCCUGUCCACAGGCCCUGAAAAAGGGGAGUGUCAGAAUAGCUUCUUAACACAUAAAUGUGCAAACUUGACUAACUAGAUUUAGUAUCUUGAGACGCCCUCAACUUUUCUUCUAUAUGCUUCUUCUAAGUACUUCUCAGAGAAUUCUACAUUCACCUGCAAAUGUCUAGAAAUGUGAGGUGAUUAAUUCUGUGUUGUCAUGCUUUCCUGUUACUGAUUUGGCUACUACAGAGCACAUUUCCUUUUGUACGUACUGAGUCAGUGGAGUUGAGAGAAGUAUUACCAGGGAUGUGUCAGAGACAUAGUGGGUAAGUGUAUAUAAAUGAAAAGGUUUAGUUUCCUUGUUAUUUUGUAUGAUGAUCUCUCAGUGGGCCUUUUUUUUACGUUUAUGUAUAAUUAUAAUAUAAAGUUAUUGCUGUUAUUCUACUACUGGGUUGAAAUGCGUAAUGAGAGCUAAACUCUAGGUGCUUUAUAUUUAUUGCCUCAAAUUCUUAGUAACCCAAGAUGGGUGGCUUUAUUGAUGAGGAAUCUAGCUCAAAAAAAAUGUUCUAGGUCAUGAAGGCUAGAUUUGAAAUCAUUUGGUCUGAAAUCUUUAAAUUGGUUUAUACUCUGUUGUCUCUUCUGUUCAGGAUUAUAGACAUAGGAAAUUAGUGACAAGUGUUUAGAUUGUUCUGUGGCAAUAUGAAACAUCCUUCCCAAAACCGGAGUAUGUUCUGGGGAUCCCUGGAUGUUCCUAUAUGUUGCUGAUAGUUUAAGUUAUAGGUGCACAGUGUGAUGAGAUCAGAGAUGUCAUCGUGCCCCAUGGCCCUCCCCACCCACUGUCAUGCUCUUGUUUAA